CACGGGUACUUUUGAUUUUAUCAGUAAUUUGAUUGUUGUGGACCGGAAGCGCUAACCGAUAACCAUCACUAGCCAGAUAAAGUGGAGCGUUACGCACUGAAUUUCUUGAUCUUACAUUAUUCUGAGUUCGUUAUACAACUGCUGCACCGUAAAGUAUUGGUGGUUACUUCAGCCAAGUCGAAGUUUUCAUUUUGCAGAGCGAUAUUUUCCAUCGGCAUCAAUUGCGAUUUUCAUGCGCAUUACUUUUUAUCGGCAGUGCCUUGUUUCAAAAAAGUCGCUGAUGAAUGCGCUCGUACUAAGUAAUUUGAGAAAGUGUGUCUGGUACUGGCAAAAUGCAGUGUCGUGCUUUUGUGAUCCCUAUUUCGAAUCAAACGUAUGGUACACUGCAUUGGCGCAACAGAAUUGUAGCCGCAACUGGCGCAUUGUGGGCUCGCAACACGCGUAUUGCUCUAACCUCAGCCAGUAAGAAUUAUGGAAUUUGCACUAUAUUGUCCGAUCGUUACCGCGAUGGGCUUGUACCGCAGUAAAAGUAAGUACUACCCCUAACUAUUCUUGGCUGAUCAGGAAAGAUUACUUGAACCAACUGUACAACAUGCCGAUUUCAUGGCUGAUUUCAGUAAAACCAGAGAAACUGUUGCUUAUAGUAAGUGCAUUAUAAUUGACGGAAGCCUAGCGAAGGUCCUUAAUGUUCAUCGUUAACGCAAUAUCCGUCGGUCGCCGCCCCCUAAACCACGAGUGCGGUUUUUGCUACCAAUUACAGACAUGCGCGGUGGGCAUGUAGACAUGCGCGGUGGGCAUAUAUGCUUACGCCUUAUUCUGUAGAAGACGGCACUCGCAUUGUCAAGCUUAUGCACGGGAGUGUUUAGUGUUAACCGAAGUGCAGUGAAAGUCGACACAUUCAAUUAUCGAAAAACUGGAAACCUUCUGUCGGUGACCGUCGGCCUUUUUCACCGUACGCCGGAUAUGCUCGUGGGCAACGAUCAACAAGAUGUUCGUUGUCGGCCAUUACUACGUAACCGUUUCAUACUUAACCAUUAACUGAAGUCCUUAAGCGUCUUUUAUUUCUAUGUCCAAGAAACUUAGAAACCUGAGAUGUGGAUUUGCCAUGAAGCCAGUAACCAUGAAGCCAAUAACCAGAACGCCAAACUAGAAUAAAAUCAAGAAACCGGGAACCUUUCAAGCAGUUUCCAGAGCAGAAGAUUAUAUUCGUCGUGGAAACGAUUUCCCGAUGUGGCCCACGAUCGUUCAAAUCGCAUGUGACUAACCGGAGGGAAGGUCAUAAACUCACCAAGCUGCAGCGUAUAAUUGUCAGCAACCACAAGCCAGUUCAGCUUCAACUCUAAAAUCUGCAGGAUAUCUGACAAUGGCUCCAAGAUUUCCUCCCAACUUCCAGUGAGAUAUACGACCUUCGUAUUUCUCGAUAGGAUUGAAAUGAUUAUUUUUGUAAAUGUGGAACUCAAGUCAUUCAGGCGAAAUCCUUCAUCAAGAAUAACAUUACUGGAAUACUUUGGCAGUACAAUGCACUCUUGGAGAAUAGCUGCCGACGACAGAUGCCGAAAGUGACUUGAUAACCUUAAAAAAUAGACUGGACAAUUAACGGUAGGUUUUCGCAUUUCGAUAAAAGAACAGCGUUUAAACUUUAACGUACGUGAUUUUAUUCGGGUAUAACGUCUCAGCAAGCACAUCCAUAAAGCCAUAAAGCGGUACAUAAAACAUUGUGUACCGCGCUGAAUUUACCCUUAAUGGGUUCGGACCGCCAACCAACGCUUACAAAAAUGUGGUUUUGUGUACAAAACCGCUUUCCUUACGUCAGGAUUUUCACUGCAGCAGUGGUGUACCGAGCUCACCCACAAAUCUAAGCCGGGGUGGCAUUAUUGGGAUUCUAGCAACAAACUACGUUCGCAGACGGCCUGGCGGGAUCCUAUGGUAGUUAAUUUUUGCUGCUGCACGCUACCUCUUGAAACGCCCUUGGUCAUACGCAUCCAGAAAAGAAAACACCGUCAGCUGCACAUCCCAAGAAUUCUUCAAAUCAAAUGUAUGGCGUUACACUGGUGCUUCGGCUUACGAUCGCCAAACGCAGAUGAAUAAGAAGCGUUGUCUGUCACCACGUGAACGCGCUCAUCAAAUUUCUGGAAGUAGUUCAAUAUCCCUGGCAAAAGGGACGCUUUAAAGGCCUCAGAAAGAGUACGCGUACCAGUGGGUGUAAAACGCUGCGAUACGGCUCAGCCAUUUCAACCCAACUGAAACGUCCCGACACCAUGGCUCCGACACUGGCAAGGGAAUUCGCAUUACAGGGAAGGUUUCCGGCGUCACAUUUUUCCCCAGGUAACCACGAGGACGGAUUGUCCGUGUUCUGUAACAACCCUGAUACUGCAUCAUGACGUAACGUCGUGUAGUUGUUGGCAAUGCGACUUCAACUUCCGUAAAAUUGAAGAGCGCGGCGUCUUUCGCUGUGUAGCUUUUAAUACACCCUGGCCACCAUGAUUCCCGUUAAUUUUCAUCCGUUUUCAAAAGAACAUCAACUUCUCCUUCUUUUAUUUCCUGAUCUGUAUGGGAGCGGUCUGAAAACUCAUCUACUUCCCGUAAUUGUUCAAAU